rnacentral:rRNA from 1 species
AUUGAACGCUGGCGGCAUGCCUUACACAUGCAAGUCGAACGGCAGCAUGAUCUAGCUUGCUAGAUUGACGGCGAGUGGCGAACGGGUGAGUAAUACAUCGGAACGUGCCCUGUAGUGGGGGAUAACUAGUCGAAAGAUUAGCUAAUACCGCAUACGACCUGAGGGUGAAAGUGGGGGACCGCAAGGCCUCAUGCUAUAGGAGCGGCCGAUGUCUGAUUAGCUAGUUGGUGAGGUAAAGGCUCACCAAGGCGACGAUCAGUAGCUGGUCUGAGAGGACGAUCAGCCACACUGGGACUGAGACACGGCCCAGACUCCUACGGGAGGCAGCAGUGGGGAAUUUUGGACAAUGGGCGAAAGCCUGAUCCAGCAAUGCCGCGUGUGUGAAGAAGGCCUUCGGGUUGUAAAGCACUUUUGUCCGGAAAGAAAUGGCUCUGGUUAAUACCUGGGGUCGAUGACGGUACCGGAAGAAUAAGGACCGGCUAACUACGUGCCAGCAGCCGCGGUAA